GACGGAGGGUGCUAGCGUUGUUCGGAAUUACUGGGCGUAAAGAGCGCGCAGGCGGUCGUGCAAGUCGCGUGUGAAAGCCCCCGGCUCAACUGGGGAGGGUCACGCGAUACUGCUCGACUUGAAGGCAGGAGAGGGAAGUGGAAUUCCCGGUGUAGUGGUGAAAUGCGUAGAUAUCGGGAGGAACACCAGUGGCGAAGGCGACUUCCUGGCCUGUUCUUGACGCUGAGGCGCGAAAGCUAGGGUAGCAAACGGG
rnacentral:rRNA from 1 species